UAAUUUUAGUUAUAUUCUUUGAAAACUAAAAUUAAUUUUAGAUUCAUUUGGUUCCUUUUGGAAGCUGUUGCAGUAAUAGCAAGAUGGAUGAAAAACAGAGGACAUCAUGACCUUAUGCAACUCCUGAUAUCAACCCUCUUGAGUUAAUAUUACGCUCUAUUCUGGUGUUCCAUUUGAUGCUGGAUAUCACCUAGACACACCUGACUCCUUGGUGUGAUCAAACUUUUCUUAUUCUACAUUCCAUUUGCUGGGUACUGUUUUUUAAUGAGAGAUGUGAGGUCAGCAAGGCAGGGGAAGGCAAGACAGAUAAACACAGAGGAAUGCGCAAGAUCGUCUCGGCAACGCCUCACCAAUGAGGUUGCCAAAGUACUGCCGCAGGAUGUCCUUGAAAACGCGACUGUGCUUGAGGUAACCUUUGAGAAUGAGUGUGUGCUGCCAAUGCAACAUAAUG
rnacentral:lncRNA from 1 species